UCCAGCACUUCUGCUACUGACUACAUACACAAAGGAAAUGAAAUAACUAUAAUUAAGGCUGUCUGGUGUCUUUGAAAGCUGCUCACAGAGUAAAUCCUAAAAAUCUCAUUACAAGGGGAAAAAAAACCUUUUGGUUUCCCCCUUCAUAGCCAAAGCGUCCACUGCAAAAGAAUAUGAGGUCAGCCCUAAGAAGCCCUAACAUCGGCUGCAAACCAAAGAAGAAUUACAAAAAUAAGUCAAUCUGAAGCAAUAAAAA